CCCUUAGAUGUCCUGGGCCGCACGCGCGCUACGCUGAACGGAUCAGCGCGUUUUCCCUUCCCGAGAGGGACGGGUAACCUGCUGAACCCCGUUCGUGGUAGGGAUCGGGGCUUGCAAUUAUUCCCCGUGAACCAGGAAUGCCCAGUAAGUGCAAGUCAUAAGCUUGCGUUGAUUACGUCCCUGCCCUUUGUACACACCGCCCGUCGCUACUACCGAUUGAACGUUUUAGUGAGGUACUCGGACUGAGCCUCAGAAGAUUCACGUCUUUUGUGCUGCUCGGGAAGAUUCCCAAACUUGAGCGUUUAGAGGAAGUAAAAGUCGUAACA
rnacentral:rRNA from 1 species